rnacentral:rRNA from 1 species
GGUGAGUAACGCGUGGGUAACCUGCCCUGUACAGGGGGAUAACAGUCAGAAAUGACUGCUAAUACCGCAUAAGACCACAGCACCGCAUGGUGCAGGGGUAAAAACUCCGGUGGUACAGGAUGGACCCGCGUCUGAUUAGCUGGUUGGUGAGGUAACGGCUCACCAAGGCGACGAUCAGUAGCCGGCUUGAGAGAGUGAACGGCCACAUUGGGACUGAGACACGGCCCAAACUCCUACGGGAGGCAGCAGUGGGGAAUAUUGCACAAUGGGGGAAACCCUGAUGCAGCGACGCCGCGUGAGUGAAGAAGUAUCUCGGUAUGUAAAGCUCUAUCAGCAGGGAAGAAAAUGACGGUACCUGACUAAGAAGCCCCGGCUAACUACGUGCCAGCAGCCGCGGUAAUACGUAGGGGGCAAGCGUUAUCCGGAAUUACUGGGUGUAAAGGGUGCGUAGGUGGUAUGGCAAGUCAGAAGUGAAAACCCAGGGCUUAACUCUGGGACUGCUUUUGAAACUGUCAGACUAGAGUGCAGGAGAGGUAAGCGGAAUUCCUAGUGUAGCGGUGAAAUGCGUAGAUAUUAGGAGCACAUCAGUGGCGAA